UGAGUGACAUGAUGAAACUCUUAAGCGGAAUCCUAAUUAUGUUGUGGAAACCUACCUUGGAGAACUGAUCAUUCA
rnacentral:snoRNA from 1 species